GACGAACGCUGGCGGCGUGCUUAACACAUGCAAGUCGAACGGUCCUGUUUUUGAAGCGCUUCGGCGUGGAGGGGACGGGGCAGUGGCGCACGGGGUGAGUAAUGCGCGAGGACCUGCCCGCAGGAGGGGACAGCAGUUGGAAACGGCUGGUGAUACCCCGUAGGCCGGGAGGUGAAAGGGCGGAGACGCCCGCCUGCGGAUGGACUCGCGUCCUAUCAGCUAGUUGGUGAGGCAACGGCUCACCAAGGCGACGACGGGUAGCCGGCCUGAGAGGGUGUCCGGCCACACUGGAACUGAGACACGGUCCAGACUCCUACGGGAGGCAGCAGUGGGGAAUUUUGGGCAAUGGGGGAGACCCUGACCCAGCGACGCCGCGUGAGGGACGAAGGCCCUUGGGUCGUAAACCUCUUUUGCAGGGGAAGAAGAAGAUGACGGUACCUUGCGAACAAGUCCCGGCUAACUACGUGCCAGCAGCCGCGGUAACUCGUCUCUA
rnacentral:rRNA from 1 species